GGAUGUGAGGGCAACCUGGCUAUGACAUCUGUUUCCCCACUGAUUGCCAGGGUUGAUUUGGCUGAUCUGGCUGGCUAGGCAAGUGUCCUCUUCCUCAGGCACCACUCCAGGUGCGUCCCGCCCGAAGCUGCAUGCUCUGUCAAAGAGGACGACCUUCCCCUAUAGAGGAGAGGACUGUUCUUCCGUCAAGGGUAUAGGAGUAGUUACGCUCCCCUGCUAGAACCUCCAAAAAGCUCUCAAGAACUGGUAAGAAUUUCCACAUAGAAAUUAGUGGAUGAUU
rnacentral:snRNA from 1 species